rnacentral:rRNA from 1 species
GAUCCCAUCCCGAACUCAGUAGUGAAACGAUGCAUCGCCGAUGGUAGUGUGGGGUUUCCCCAUGUGAGAGUAGGUCAUCGUCAAGC